UCCAGGUGACUGAGGAUGCCAGAGUCGGAGAGCCACUUCUCCCAACAGUGCCCGACACAAGUGGACCAGGAGGGUUCCACAUGUCCCUCCACUUAGACCCUCGCACCAACAAGUAUAUCAAGGCGAAUGCAUAGCCAAGGUACACAAAGAACAAACAGCUCAUGAUGACAAGCUGCAAACUUUCUCAGGGAAACAUGAUGAACACCUUCCUAGGAGAAGACUAAGCGCUGGAGCUGAAGGCAUGGGACCUUGCUUUCCUUGGGGAAGGGGGAGAUACUCCCUCCCAAUGAGCUCAGUGAGGCACUGUGGGCUGCCAGGACCCAGGAGAACCACCACUCAGCAGCUCCCUUACAGGUUGACACCAGGGCAGCCUCUUCACUGCUCUCGGCCUGUUUCCUCUUGUCAAAGGUUGAUACUACUGUGUGCAGAUCCCACUGGGUUUAUACUGUGCCCGGUAAGAUCCUUGAGAUACCGACCUCACUGUGAGAGAGCCCGUAUAAAGAAGAGAUUCUUCAGAAAAUCAGGAUAAAUACGAGGAUUGCUGUAUGAAAUGGAACUAUUACGAGUUUGGGCCUUUCAAGUUCACACUCUAUCGAUGGUUCCAUGAAGUUGGCUGGCAUUAUUCUGAAUCUGGUCUUUGAUAGCAACCCGAAGUGCCUGAAUUGUCAUCAUAAGACUACCAGAAAGCACUGGCAAAUUACAUUGUUCAGAGAACAAUAAAAAAUGGCUACAUAUCA